rnacentral:rRNA from 1 species
UACAUCCUACGGGGGGCAGCAGUGAGGAAUAUUGGUCAAUGGACGCAAGUCUGAACCAGCCAUGCCGCGUGCAGGAUGACGGCUCUAUGAGUUGUAAACUGCAUUUGUACGAGGGUAAUAUCAGAUACGUGUAUCUGCUUGAAAGUAUCGUACGAAUAAGGAUCGGCUAACUCCGUGCCAGCAGCCUCGGUAAUACGGAGGAUCCAAGCGUUAUCCGGAUUUAUUGGGUUUAAAGGGUGCGUAGGCGGUUUUAUCAGUUAG